UACGUAGGGGGCGAGCGUUGUCCGGAUUUAUUGGGCGUAAAGAGCGCGUAGGCGGCCACUCAAGUCGAUCGUGAAAGCUCGGGGCUCAACCCCGAGAUUGCGGUCGAUACUGAGUGGCUAGAGGCUGGUAGGGGGGUGUGGAAUUCCCGGUGUAGCGGUGGAAUGCGCAGAUAUCGGGAGGAACACCGGUGGCGAAGGCGGCACCCUGGGCCAGUCCUGACGCUGAGACGCGAAAGCGUGGGGAGCGAACAGG
rnacentral:rRNA from 1 species